rnacentral:rRNA from 1 species
CUCACCGGGAACGACAGCAAUAUGUAGGCCAGGAUGAAGACCUGACCUGAAUCGCUGAGAGGAGGUGCAUGGCCGUCGCCAGUUCGUACUGUGAAGCAUCCUGUUAAGUCAGGCAACGAGCGAGACCCGUGCCCACUGUUACCAGCAUAUCCUCCGGGAUGAUGGGUACUCUGUGGGGACCGCUGAUGUUAAAUCAGAGGAAGGUGCGGGCUACGGUAGGUCAGUAUGCCCCGAAUUUCCCGGGCUACACGCGGGCUACAAUGAAUGGGACAAUGGGCCCCUACCCUGAAAAGGGUUGGUAAUCUCACAAACCCAUCCGUAGUUCGGAUUGAGGGCUGUAACUCGCCCUCAUGAAGCUGGAAUCCGUAGUAAUCGCGUUUCAAUAUAGCGCGGUGAAUACGUCCCUGCUCCUUGCACACACCGCCCGUCAAACCACCCGAGUGAGGUAUGGGUAAGGGCACGAACUCUGUGUCGUGUUCGAACCUGUGCUUUGCAAGGGGGGUUAAGUCGUAAAAAGGUAACCAAGGGCGAAUUCCAGC